UACGUAGGGGGCAAGCGUUGUCCGGAUUUAUUGGGCGUAAAGAGCGUGUAGGCGGCCAGACAGGUCCACUGUGAAAACUCGAGGCUCAACCUCGAGAGGUCGGUGGAAACCGUCUGGCUAGAGUCCGGAAGAGGAGAGUGGAAUUCCCGGUGUAGCGGUGAAAUGCGCAGAUAUCAGGAGGAACACCGGUGGUGUAGACGGCUCUCUGGACCGUAACUGACGCUGAGGCACGAAAGCGUGGGUAGCAAACAGG
rnacentral:rRNA from 1 species